rnacentral:rRNA from 1 species
UACGUAGGGACCGAGCGUUGUCCGGAAUCAUUGGGCGUAAAGCGCGUGUAGGCGGUUCGGUAAGUCUGCUGUGAAAGUCCAGGGCUCAACCCUGGGAUGCCGGUGGAUACUGUCGGACUAGAGUACGGAAGAGGCGAGUGGAAUUCCCGGUGUAGCGGUGAAAUGCGCAGAUAUCGGGAGGAACACCAAUUGCGAAGGCAGCUCGCUGGGACGUUACUGACGCUGAGGCGCGAAAGCGUGGGGAGCGAACAGG